GAAGGGAUUGAUCAUUAUCCCCUUUCCAUUUUGGUGGUAAGCAAACGAAGGUUCAGAGGUCAACAUGCUUGAGAUCACAAGGGGCAACAUCCUAAGGCAGAGAAAAGAAAGCAACCACCUCAUUUCAUCAAGAAAAAUGGGCAGAGUUGGGGGGCUUUCCUGCCGGCGGUGGUGGAUUCUUUACCAACUGAGCUAUCAGGGAAGUCCACUGAUGAAUAUAUAGUAAUUUAAUCAAUGCUACUGAUGGACUGAUGCUGAAGCCGAAACUCCAGUACUUUGGCCACCUAAUUCGAAGAACUGACUCAUUGGAAAAGGUCCUGAUGCUGGGCAAGAUUGAAGGCAGGAGGAGAAGGGGAUGACAGAGGAUG